rnacentral:rRNA from 1 species
CGGGAUAUUUACUUUGAAAAAAUCAGAGUGUUUCAAGCAGGCAGUCGCUCUUGCAUGGAUUAGCAUGGGAUAAUGAAAUAGGACUCUGGUGCUAUUUUGUUGGUUUCGAACACCGGAGUAAUGAUUAACAGGGACAGUCAGGGGCACUCGUAUUCCGCCGAGAGAGGUGAAAUUCUCAGACCAGCGGAAGACGAACCACUGCGAAAGCAUUUGCCAGGGAUGUUUUCACUGAUCAAGAACGAAAGUUAGGGGAUCGAAGACGAUCAGAUACCGUCG